AGCUGUUGCCUUGACCCCAGUCAAAGCUCUCUCUGUCAAGGGAUGGCUCAUCCCUCCUCCCUUUCCAUUUUAGCUGCUCUCUUUCAUAGUCUGGAAGACCGAUGAAGCUCAGGGAGAGCAGGAAUUGAGGGGUCCCACCUGGAGCUGCUUUUCCAUUUAUCUCUCCUAUCAAGAUCUCCACAUGCUCCAGGGUCCACCUGAUGGGAAGAUGACCCACCCAGAGCCUGGUGAAGCCCACAGCUGGGAUUUGUGGAGCAUUCUCUAUGGACCGGACUUGCCCUGAGCAUCCUGUAUAUACCACUUCCUCAACCCUCACAAUGCUCUUCUGAGCUGAGAGCUGUCACCAUGCCUGCUUCACCAGCAGACAGAGAAUUGGUGAGGGUAGAUAACUUGCUCCAUUGUCAGAACCCAACUCCUCAC